rnacentral:rRNA from 1 species
AACGCUAGCUACAGGCUUAACACAUGCAAGUCGAGGGGAAACGAUAGAGAAAGCUUGCUUUUUCUAGGCGUCGACCGGCGCACGGGUGAGUAACGCGUAUCCAACCUGCCCACCACUUGGGGAUAACCUUGCGAAAGUAAGACUAAUACCCAAUGACGUCUCUAGAAGACAUCUGAAAGGGAUUAAAGAUUUAUCGGUGAUGGAUGGGGAUGCGUCUGAUUAGCUUGUUGGCGGGGUAACGGCCCACCAAGGCAACGAUCAGUAGGGGUUCUGAGAGGAAGGUCCCCCACAUUGGAACUGAGACACGGUCCAAACUCCUACGGGAGGCAGCAGUGAGGAAUAUUGGUCAAUGGGCGAGAGCCUGAACCAGCCAAGUAGCGUGCAGGAUGACGGCCCUAUGGGUUGUAAACUGCUUUUAUAAGGGAAUAAAGUGAGUCUCGUGAGGCUUUUUGCAUGUACCUUAUGAAUAAGGACCGGCUAAUUCCGUGCCAGCAGCCGCGGUAAUACGGAAGGUCCGGGCGUUAUCCGGAUUUAUUGGGUUUAAAGGGAGCGUAGGCCGGAGAUUAAGCGUGUUGUGAAAUGUAGAUGCUCAACGUCUGCACUGCAGCGCGAACUGGUUUCCUUGAGUACGCACAAAGUGGGCGGAAUUCGUGGUGUAGCGGUGAAAUGCUUAGAUAUCACGAAGAACUCCGAUUG